AACUUGAGUGAUUAUGUCCCAUUAAGGGAGGGCGUUCAAAAGAUCGGAACACUUGUACCUUUGUGUAGACUGUAGAGUGCUGCCACACCUUUCCAUGAGAGAUAUAUAAUGCUUUCAGCAGCGCAAGUAUUGCUAUAAUAGUCCUUGUUUAGUUAGUGUUUGAUGUUGAACUUCUAAGAAAAAAAAAAAAAACAUGCUGAAGGCUAAAGAUUUCCACGUGUCAGACACGCUUGGAUUCGUUUUGGAGGAGCCGCUGGAAUUUCUGCCAGAAUACUUUUCAUCAUGGAAUCUACUGGCCAAAAAUAUGCCGAGCCUUGUCCAAGGCAACAGGAUGAGACAUGAGGUUGAUAAGAUGCCUUUGUUGGACCACCAGCAUUUACAAGGGCACAGGCAGAAGCGACUCGCCCAUUUACAACUUACAAUCAUUGCAUCAGGAUAUGUAUGGCAACAUGGUGACAAAGAUGCUAGCAAGUCCAUCCCAAAAAGCAUUGCAGUGCCUUUAUACUACUUGUCUGAAGAACUGGGUCUGCCACCAAUCGUAUGUCAUCCAAGCUUAGCAUUAGCUAACUGGGCUCCACUUUUCCCAGACAGACCCUUAUGUUUGGAAAAUCUUCGCUGUCUCUACACGUUACCAGGUGGAGCAGAGGCUGAAUGGUUCUUCCUGACUACAGUCAUGGUAGAGCUAACUUUUGGCAAGUGUAUUCAGUCCAUCUUGUCUGUAGUGACUAGCACUAAAGAGGAGAAUGAAGGCCAAGCUAUCCAGGGUUUAAGCCAUAUAGCUGAUGUGGUGAAGCAAAUGGAGGAAGUCUUGUCACACAUGCAUGAUAAACUUACUUCUGGCACAUUCUUCAAUGUACUCAGACCUUACCUUGGUGGAUAUGGUGGAGAAAGCAGUCCUUUACCUGAAGGAGUAGUUUUUGAAGGCAUCUCUGACCAGCCAAUAAAGGCUUUUGGUGGAAGUGCAGCUCAGAGUGCCACUUUGCAAGUUCUGGAUGCUCUUUUAGGCAUACAGCAUACAGAUGGUGAGAAAAGCUUCUUAAUGACAAUGCGGACAUACAUGCCUCCCUCCCAUAGGCAGUUUGUGGAAGCUAUUGAAAAUAAAUCCCAUUCUGUGCGAAAAUUCGUUGAGUGCAGCAAUAACAGUGAUCUUCAUAAAGCCUACAACACUUGUCUUUCCGCUGUCGCCAGAUUCCGAAGCUACCAUAUCCAAAUUGUCACCAAAACUCCUCCACUUUAUUGUCUUGAUGCCUGGAAGUCGGAGCAAAUACUUGGACAACGGUGACAUUGGAUAUGGGUGUACAGCUGAUGAUGACUGACCAAAUUCCCAUGUGUCCUCACCAUGUUUGUGUCUGGCAUCUUCUCCAUUAUACCAGAGUUUAUGACCCUUGUACAUCAUUCAGGCCCGUGCCAACAAGACUACAGGGAAAAGGUUUGAGAGCCUGGACAACAAAGGAACAGGGGGCACAAACCUCAUGCCUUUCUUAAAGACCCUGAGACAAGACACAAUGGCGAAACUAGUUCCCAGUGAC
rnacentral:misc_RNA from 1 species